GUCUAGGUAGCUCAAAUGGCAGAACACUGGACUAGCGAUCCAGUGGACGUGGGUUCAAGUCCCAUUCUAGACA